UAAGGAAUAUUGCUCAAUGGGAGAAAUCCUGAAGCAGCAACGCCGCGUGGAGGAUGAAGGGUCUAUGACUUGUAAACUCCUGUAAAGAAGGAAAAAAUUCCCAUUUGAUGGGAGAUGAUGGUACUUCUGGAGUAAGCCCCGGCUAACUACGUGCCAGCAGCCGCGGUAAUACGUAGGGGGCAAGCGUUGUCCGGAUUCACUGGGUGUAAAGGGUGCUCAGGCGGAUUUGUAAGUCAGAGGUGAAAUCUUACAGCUUAACUGUGAAACUGCCUUUGAUACUGUAAGCCUAGAGUAUGGAAGAGAGUGAUGGAAUAUCUGGUGUAGCAGUGAAAUGCGUAGAUAUCAGAUAGAACACCAAUGGCGAAGGCAGUCACUUGGUCCAUUACUGACGCUAAAGCACGAAAGCGUGGGUAGCAAACA
rnacentral:rRNA from 1 species